GUGGGGAAUAUUGCGCAAUGGGGGAAACCCUGACGCAGCGACGCCGCGUGAGCGAAGAAGGCCUUCGGGUUGUAAAGCUCUGUUGUAAGGGACGAAGGAGCUGGGUAGUAACUGACCUGGCGGUGACGGUACCUUACCAGCAAGCCCCGGCUAACUACGUGCCAGCAGCCGCGGUAAGACGUAGGGGGCGAGCGUUGUCCGGAAUUACUGGGCGUAAAGAGCACGUAGGCGGGUAUUUAAGUCAGGUGUGAAAGACCGCGGCCCAACUGCGGGGUUGCACUUGAAACUGAAUAUCUUGAGGGCAGGAGAGGUCAGUGGAAUUCCUGGUGUAGCGGUGAAAUGCGUAGAUAUCAGGAGGAACACCAGUGGCGAAGGCGACUGACUGGACUGACCCUGACGCUGAGGUGCGAAAGCGUGGGUAGCAAACAGGAUUAGAUACCCUAGUAGUCC
rnacentral:rRNA from 1 species